CUCUUGGCUGAUUCUGACGUUUCAUUUUCAUCAUUUUCUGGCAGUUUUACAUGACCUGUAUGCAUACCUCUGUCCAACCACAGAGAUGAGAAAAGGAAGCUUAAUAGAUCCAAUUGGUACUGAAUAUAGUUUAUUUCAUAAAAUCCAUUGGUGCUUGUGGUGUGGCACUGUACAGGUCAGUUAAAGACAGUAGUUUCAAAUGGUUUUUUUGCAGUAUAAGAACAUAAGGCACAGAAAGGGCAUCUCUGAAGGCAUGGGAAGGACUUUACUGAGAGUUGGAGUCUGGGACAAUAGGAGAGAGAAAAAAUCAUUUUGUAUUUCUCUAUUAUUAUAUUCCUUCCUCAGACAUUUGCCACCGGAGACUCUGAGACAGCCCACAAGGCUGGAAGGACCUCUGCAGUGCCCCUGUCCGUCUGGGCUUGAAUGCUCGUUCCCAGGGUCAAGGACCAAAGGAAGAUGUGCAGGAACCGUGGAAAUUCCCGGUGGAGCAGCUACACACACUCCCAGAGCUGCCACGGAAGAUCCAUAACUUGGGCUCCAUUCCAUCAGGAUGAGUGGUCAGGACAGGAGAAACAGCAUACUUGAUUGUUGGUCACCAGCCCGGCUUGGGUUGUCAUCACACUCCUCGCUCCUCUCAAAAUUCAUUCUUCACCAGUUCAGGCCAUUCCUGCAACAUACAACUGCUGCAUUACCCACCAAGUACACCUGAGUCCUUGGGUAAAGACAAUCCCAUGAAUGGGUUUGCCUUUUCCCAUGGCAGGAAAAAUCCACAUCAACUUCCCCAGGCACUUCCCUAUGUGUAGUAUGGGAAUGUUGUCCCCUCUCACAUUGUGUAGGGGUAUUUUUGGGCAGGACUAAAGUGGUUGGCAGAUCCUGUAGUGUUAAUCAGCCAAGUGGCAUCUGCUGAGUUUACAUCCCAAUGCUUCUAUGCCCAAUGCUUUUACCAUAGUCUUCAGCAGCCCUUUAUACCUCUCCAUCUUUCCAGAGUGCUGGGGGAGAUAAGGCACAUAAUACAUCCACUCAAUACCGUGUUGCCCAAGAGUUUAUAAGGUUACUUCUAAAAUGAGUCCCCUUGUCUGAAUUGAUUCUCUCUGGGUUAUGUCACCAUAAAAUGUGUCUCUCAAGGCCUGAGAUGGUGUUUGGAGCAGUGGCAAUGGCUUUCAGCCAGACAGCCAGCCAAUGUCUCUGCCAUGGUGGCUCUGCAGCUCUUGCAGUGUAAUGUGACACAAUGUGUCCUAGCUCUCACCACCUCUGUAGGAGUCUUUCCUUGUCCCCCACAUACAGAAAUCAAAACAACAUAGAAUAACCUUUCAACCCUAUCACAACUCCUGUCCUAAACCCUAGUAGACAAUUUCUUUAUUCUCAGAUGAGUAGGUAGCCAAGCAGUAGAACAUCCAUUCAUUAUCAUCAGACAAUUUGCCUCCCUCACCUACUUCAUAAUUCCCUUAAUCCUAUUCCUGUUGUUGGAGCUUUAGAAAACAAAUUACUUAACCUCUAAAACUACUCUAAUAGUUUAUAAGAACUUUGGUCUUGUAAACCGAAGAUUGAAGAUUAUACCUCUUCUUAGAGUCCUUUCCCUUCAGAAAGAAAACCUUUAUCUCCAACUCCCAAAGUUGCUAUUUUAAAUUAAACUACUUUUUGACUUCUCUCUACCCUAAACUGCACAAAUCCCUCCCCAAAUAGCCCCCAUAAAAGUUAUAAGACAAAAAAAAUUAGCAACAACCCCAAACCUGCAACCAAAACCCACCCUGGUCCCCAUGGAUAGAACACAGCUACACCAAUAAAAUCCAAUCACACAGAAAAUAUACCUCCACUAUCAACAGUGUCUACACCAAACCACAACUCAGCACUACUGGAAUCAUAACCAAAGCUUGUCACACACCAUAACCAACAAAUCUCCCCAAGUUUCUGGAAAGGGUCCACUGCCAGAGACAGAGUAAACAAAACCCACUUAUGUUCUGCCCAAAUAUGCUAAAAACAGCGCCAGUGACACAAAGGAGGUACCUGCACUCAUCAGCUACCCACACCCAGCAACAGAUGCCAAUACUAAACCAUGAUAAUAAGAAGAACUGGGCGCAAUUGCCAAUUCUCCUAAAAUAAAGCAUGCACCCAAAAAUAUAACAAAAUUUCUCAUAAUAAUUUCUGCUUAGCCUUCCUCCAAGACUUAUGGUUAUAUUACAUUAACAAUGAUUUUCAUUAUUAUAAUGGAAAAUCUCCAUUUUGCAGCUGGAGAAAUACAAAUUUAUCAGAAACCUGGUUUAUGUGGUGGAUUGGGGGUUUUUUUUUUGGUUGGGUCCUGCCCCUCUUUCCACUGUAAGUAAAAUUAUAGGGCCAAAGAGUUCUGCUUUCCUCUGGGCAGAGAGCUCAGGCGUGGAGGGGGUCUCAGCUUGUGUAGGCACAGCCACCUGCUGGCACACUGAGGACCUGCUUAGAGAAGGGUCGAGGGUGUGAACAAGAAUAAAUGCGAUGUAUUUACACAGUAAAGAGCUGCAGAACGCGUGUCACAAUGGCCACGAGAGGGCAGAAGCAUCCCAAGAUUAGGUCUCCAGCUCCUCGGUGGCUUUCCCUCCCCUGGAUUUCUUUUACAUUCGAAUUCAUAAAAUACUCUUUGAACAAAAAUGUAAGCACAUGACUUAAUGCAAUUAUGACAAGAUGUAUUAUUAGCUCAGUCCUAAACAAACAAACAAAAAACCCCAACAAGCCUGGGUUGAUUUUUGUUUAUGGUCUGAUGGAAAGAUAGUUUUCUUGGGAACAGGGGGCUUCAGGAUCUUUAUAGCAUUCUUGCUUCCUCUCACACAUUUCUCUUAAUACACAGUGGCAAGACAAGUUCUAUCACUCGAGAAAAGAGAAAAUGAAGAAAAUAUGCUAAUUUCUUCAGGUACGACAGUCUUUAAAGCAUUAUCUUCCCUUUGCCACUGUUUGUUUACUCAUCUUUUGGUUCUGAUACCAAGAGGUUGUUUUUAUGUAUUUGACUUUAGUUAUGUAAGUAUCUUUGCUAAUUCCACUGAGGCCAUAACAGUAAAGCAAAAAUACAAGAAAUUUUGGGAUUAUGGCCUAAUGCACAGAUAACACCAGUCCAGGAAAUCUCUCUAUGCACAGAAAUUAGCUCCAAAAUUGUUUCUAAUUACUUCAAAGAAGCAUGAUGAAAUUGUUCUCUUUCCAUCAAAUUACAUAAAUCUCUGGUUUUAAAGCUUAAAUCCAAAUUUGAAUCUGUUCCUUCCUGCCAACAGCUCUGGAUCUGACAGGCACACAACAUCCCCCCUGUGCACAGAAAUGUUCUCAUGAGCCCUGCUCUGCUGGCAGAUGGGUUCCAGCAGUCUGGAUGAGCCCACAUCGUCAAGCAGAAACUCUGUUGGACUGGGGACAGAAUCUGAGCCACUCCAAAUAGUUCCAGAACAUCUCAGUGAAAAAAUAAGCCUUUACUUUAGAUGUCU
ensembl:lncRNA